UACGUAGGGUGCGAGCGUUAAUCGGAAUUACUGGGCGUAAAGCGUGCGCAGGCGGUUUUGUAGGCCAGAUGUGAAAGCCCCGGGCUUAACCUGGGAAUGGCAUUUGGGACUGCAAGGCUGGAGUUUGGCAGAGGAGACUGGAAUUCCUGGUGUAGCAGUGAAAUGCGUAGAUAUCAGGAGGAAUACCGAUGGCGAAGGCAGGUCUCUGGGCUAUAACUGACGCUCAUGCACGAAAGCGUGGGGAGCAAACAGG
rnacentral:rRNA from 1 species